AAGAAGAACUCCAUAAUAUGCUUUACUUCUCAGAGAUCCAUAAUAUGCUUUACUUCUCAGAGAUAAUCUGCAACAGAGUUUCGAAAUGUUUAGCGGCAACACCAUCUGGUCCAGCUGCCUUUUCCAAAACUUGUUUGAGGGCAGUAGCUGCUUGUCUGAUCUCCUUCCCUUUGUCCUGUUGGAAAAUCAUGUCCAAACACUUGAGCAUUCCAGACUUAGUGAUUACUCUAUUCUCGAAUCUCACUCCAAUCCCCCACACCUCCUCCACCAUCUUCGCAUUCAAAUGAUUGUCUGCCCACACUGACCUGCAUAUCAUUGGCACUCCACACAGGAUGCUGUCUAAAACAGAACCGUAGCCGCUGUGAGUCACAUGUACACCAAUUGAAGGAUGUCCCAGUACUUUCCUCUGGGAUGCCCAUGGAACCACCUUUCCGCGGGUUCGAGUCCUCUCAAUAAAUCCAUCAGGCAGAUACUCCUUGAACUUGUCCUUGAGAGACCAAAGAAAUGGAACACCCCUGUCUUCAAGCGCUUCAGCUAAU
rnacentral:misc_RNA from 1 species